CGUAGGUGGCAAGCGUUAUCCGGAUUUACUGGGCGUAAAGCGUGUGCAGGCGGGUGGACAAGUGGUGUAUGAAAUCGCCAGGCUAAACCUGGCGGGGUUAUGCCAGACUGUCCGUCUGGAGUGCGAGAGAGGGGCGUGGAAUUCCGGGUGUAGUGGUGAAAUGCGUAGAGAUCCGGAGGAACCCCAGAGGCGAAGGCGGCGCCCUGGCUCGCAACUGACGCUCAGACACGACAGCAUGGGGAGCGAACGGGAUUAGAAACCCCGGUAGUCCAUGCCGUAAACGAUGCAAACUAGGCGCUGUGGGACUCAACCCCCGCGGUGCCCGCAGCUAACGCGAUAAGUUUGCCGCCUGGGGAUACCGGCCGCAAGGCUA
rnacentral:rRNA from 1 species